GGGAUAACCAAGGGAAACUCUGGCUAAUACCAGAUACGCUCCGAGGAGCUGCGGCUCUUCGGAUGAAAGAUGGCCUCUACAUGUAAGCUGUCGCUCGUUGAUCGGCCUGCGCACCAUUAGCUUGUUGGUGAGGUAACGGCUCACCAAGGCUGAGAUGGUUAGCUGGUCUGAGAGGAUGGCCAGCCACACUGGGACUGAGAUACGGCCCAGACUCCUACGGGAGGCAGCAGUGGGGAAUCUUGCGCAAUGGGGGAAACCCUGACGCAGCGACGCCGCGUGGGUGAUGAAGGCUCUCGGGUCGUAAAGCCCUGUCGGAAGGGAAGAAACGUACCGACCUAAUACGUCGGAUACCUGACGGUACCUUCUAAGGAAGCACCGGCUAACUCCGUGCCAGCAGCCGCGGUAAUACGGAGGGUGCAAGCGUUGUUCGGAAUCACUGGGCGUAAAGGGCGUGUAGGCGGUCUGUUAAGUCUGAUGUGAAAUCCC
rnacentral:rRNA from 1 species